rnacentral:lncRNA from 1 species
CAGAGGUACUUGUUCUCAUCACCUUGUCCUUCAGCUGCUACCUUCUCCUGAAGUCACCUCCUUGCCCCCAGGCACAGAAAAACUCAGUCCUUCUAUUGGUCUUUUGGGUUCAAAACAAUUCACUUAAGAUCAACAGUGUCCAUACUUCAUUUAGACACUUUUAUACCCUAUCUCUGGGGCAGCACUGUCAGGGGGCAAGCAGUGGGGCUGUUGGAAGGAAAAAAAUAAAAUGUUCUUAGUCGGGAAACAGUAAAACAACCUGUUUUACUAUUGAGGAAAGGGCUGCCCAGAGAGUUUGAGUAGCAAGGACAGAACUAAUGACUCCCUGGUCUAAUCUCUUCCCAUUAGCCUGCCUCCCCAAAAACGCCACUAUCCUUUGGGGUGGGUGGCCUCUAUCCCAGUCCCCGUCCAAGGAAGGCCAGAAGGCAGGAACUCAGGCACAAAGAGGCCUCCAGCCUCAGAGAGGACCCAAGGGAACCCAGACAAUAAUGAUAUUAAAUAACAUCACAACCAUCUGCACUUUCACAGCACUCCCUCCAUGCCAUCACGCGACUCCAUGCCAUCAUGCGAACAACACACCUAUCAAGUAGGCAUUAUCAUCACCAUUUUACAGAAACACAGAGAUGGUGGGUAACGUGCCCAAUGUCCCACAGCUGUUGAGAACCAGGAUUUGGGCCAGAGUUGGACAGCUGCAGAGUGUGGAUGGGGUGGGAGAAAACUGGGAAGGAAGCCAACAGGAGGAAGGAAGCCCUGUGGCGUGGAGCUCAGGGCCAGAGAGCAGUGCCACCCCCACCUGGCUGGGCAGAGGUGCCCUCUCUGAUUCAUUUGACAAACUCAUUGUCCCUGGCUCCCAACCUCUGUCACAGCCUAGCAAUUCAGAGGAUAGGGCAGAACCUCUCCACCUUAUCUGGUCUAUCCCUCUCAUUUUACAGAUGGGGACACAGAGGUGAGGAUCAUGUAGCCAAUUGGUGCCAAAGCUGGGAUCAGAGGUUCACAGUGGACAGCGUCCAGCCUUCAUGGAAGCGAGAGCCAACACUCAGGGCGCUCUAGGUUACAUCCUAGCACUCAGUAGUCACUUCGUCUUGACAUCUAACUUUCACAACAACCCUAAGGCAGAUUAUCUGAUCAUUCCCAUUUUUCAGAUGACUAAAAAAAAAAAAUCGAGGCACAGCAAUCUGUAAGAGCUUGAUGAAAGGGACAGGAAGGGGCAGAGGCAGAUGGUCUGACUCCAGAGACCAUACCCAGGUUAGGACUGGAAUCAUAGUCCCAUCACCAUGGGAGAACAUAGUCGGUGCCUGGGCAGGGGUGCUUGGGGCUGGGGAACCACAGCUGGGCUGCCUGGCAUCCUCCAUGGGAACUCGUGG